UACGUAGGGGGCGAGCGUUGUCCGGAUUCAUUGGGCGUAAAGAGCUCGUAGGCGGUUUGAUAAGUCGGGUGUGAAAUCUCCAGGCUCAACCUGGAGAGGUCACUCGAGACUGUUAUGACUAGAGUCCGGUAGGGGACCACGGAAUUCCUGGUGUAGCGGUGAAAUGCGCAGAUAUCGUAAGGAAGACCAGUGGCGAAGGCGGGUCUCUGGGCCGAUACUGACGCUGAGGAGCGAAAGCGUGGGGAGCGAACAGG
rnacentral:rRNA from 1 species